GACGAACGCUGGCGGCGUGCUUAACACAUGCAAGUCGAACGGAAAGGCCCUGCUUUUGUGGGGUGCUCGAGUGGCGAACGGGUGAGUAACACGUGAGUAACCUGCCCUUGACUUUGGGAUAACUUCAGGAAACUGGGGCUAAUACCGGAUAGGAGCUCCUGCUGCAUGGUGGGGGUUGGAAAGUUUCGGCGGUUGGGGAUGGACUCGCGGCUUAUCAGCUUGUUGGUGGGGUAGUGGCUUACCAAGGCUUUGACGGGUAGCCGGCCUGAGAGGGUGACCGGCCACAUUGGGCCUGGGAUACGGCCCAGACUCCUCCGGGAGGCAGCAGUGGGGAAUAUUGCCCAAUGGGCGGAAGCCUGAUGCAGCAACGCCGCGUGCGGGAUGACGGCCUUCGGGUUGUAACCCGCUUUCGCCUGUGACGAAGCGUGAGUGACGGUAAUGGGUAAAGAAGCACCGGCUAACUACGUG
rnacentral:rRNA from 1 species